AGUUCUGCUGCACCGCCUUGUCAUAGGGAAGCCUCUCGGGAGUCAGGAAGCUGGAGAGUGUCACUGGGCAGCUGUCCCCGAAGAGCCUGGGCAGGAGCAGCUGAUGGGCGCAUGCUCGAAGCCGCCCCUGUUCCACCCGUGUUCCAGCGGAUGGCUGGGAAAACGCUCUCCCAUGGCCAAAGCCGUGAGGCCUGCCUGGCAGCCCGGCAGCCCAGCCCAACCUCUACCGUUCGCUCCCCAGCCCCUGGCCCAUCUGUGGCGGGAACUUUGUUCCGCGGCCCGGGUGGCCACCGCCUGGGUUUCCCUCCGGAAGGGAAGGGGAGUGCGCGCGGAUGUGGUCUGCGAGCUCAGCAGGCCAAGGGCCACACCUGCCGCGAAGGUUACAGUCGGUGAAGUAGAUCGGGGACACGAACUUCUCCACCCGCUCGAAAGUGGUGCGCCAGUGCUUCAAGAACGGCGCUGCCGCCAUGGCGAUGCGCCUUCCCUCCCCGGAAGAUCCUUGGUGCUGCCGGCUCGUUGCACCGCUUGGAACCAAAGGUUCCGGCAUCCAACCAGCUUACAGACCCGAGCAGCUUUUCUGGGAACACCACGGCUUUUGCGAGAGGCUGGCUCUGGGGAAGCCUCCCCGGUUCUCAGCUCAUCCUAGCUGUCUUGACAGCUGGGUAAAUUAUCUUUAAAUACAAUGGAGUCUGGGAGAAAAUACAGGAGGAAUCUAACUAGCCUGCUUUAAUGGAAAUAACCAGCUUUACAUUCCAAAUGCAGGUUACCCAGAAAAAUGAUGAAGAAAUAUACAAUGUCAAUUAAAAUAACUUGUGAAAACUUG
rnacentral:lncRNA from 1 species